CCUACGGGUGGCAGCAGUGAGGAAUAUUGGUCAAUGGACGCAAGUCUGAACCAGCCAUGCCGCGUGCAGGAAGACGGCUCUAUGAGUUGUAAACUGCUUUUGUACGAGGGUAAACGCAGAUACGCGUAUCUGUCUGAAAGUAUCGUACGAAUAAGGAUCGGCUAACUCCGUGCCAGCAGCCGCGGUAAUACGGAGGAUUCAAGCGUUAUCCGGAUUUAUUGGGUUUAAAGGGUGCGUAGGCGGUCGGAUAAGUUAGAGGUGAAAUCCCGGGGCUCAACUUCGGGAUUGCCGCUGAUACUGUUCGGCUAGAGAGUAGUUGCGGUAGGCGGAAUGUAUGGUGUAGCGGUGAAAUGCUUAGAGAUCAUACAGAACACCGAUUGCGAAGGCAGCUUACCAAGCUACUACUGACGUUGAGGCACGAAGGCGUGGGGAGCGAACAGGAUUAGAUACCCGAGUAGUC
rnacentral:rRNA from 1 species